rnacentral:rRNA from 1 species
UACAGAGGUGGCAAGCGUUGUUCGGAAUUACUGGGCGUAAAGGGCGCGUAGGCGGUCCCAUAAGUCCCGCGUGAAAUCCCCCGGCUCAACCGGGGAACUGCGUCUGAUACUGGAUGGCUUGAGUUUGGGAGAGGGACGCGGAAUUCCAGGUGUAGCGGUGAAAUGCGUAGAUAUCUGGAGGAAUACCGGUGGCGAAGGCGGCAUCCUGGACCGGCAUUGACGCUGAUGAGCGAAAGCUAGGGGAGCAAACGGG